GUGGUUUGUUACAUAGCUACGCGGGUGCCAUGGCGGUUCGUUACAUAGGUACGUGGGUGCCGUGGUGGUUUGUCACAUAGGUAGGCGGGUGCUUUGUUACAUAGGUACGCGGGUACCGUGGAGGUUCAUUACAUAGGUACCCACGUGCCGUGGUGCUUCGUUACAUAGGUACGCGCGUGCCGUGGUGCUUUGUUACAUAGGUACGCGGGUACCGUGGCGGUUCAUUACAUAGGUACCCGCGUGCCGUGGUGCUUCGUUACAUAGGUACGCAGGUGCCGUGGUGGUUCGUUACAUAGGUACGCGGGUACCGUGGUGGUUAGUUACAUAGGUACGCGCGUGCCGUGGUGCUUCGUUACAUAGGUACGCGGGUGCCGUGGUGGUUCGUUACAUAGGUACGCGCGUGCCGUGGUGCUUCGUUACAUAGGUACGCGGGUGCCGUGGUGGUUCGUUACACAGGUACGCGGGUGCCGUGGUGGUUAGUUACAUAGGUACGCGCGUGCCGUGGUUCUUCGUUACAUAGGUACGCGCGUGCCGUGGUGCUUCGUUACAUAGGUACGCGGGUGCCGUGGUGGUUCGUUACAUAGGUACGCGCGUGCCGUGGUGCUUCGUUACAUAGAUACGCGGGUGCCGUGGUGGUUCGUUACGUAGGUACGCGCGUGCCGUGGUGCUUCGUUACAUAGGUAUGCGGGUGCCGUGGUGGUUCAUUACAUAGGUACGUGGGUGCCGUGGUGGUUUGCUGCACUUGCUGCACCUGUUGACCGGUCCUCUAAGUUCCCUCCCUCACCCUCCACCCCUCAACAGACCCUGGUGUGUGUUGUUCCUACUUGAGGUGUUUUUCAUUUACCACUUGACCAUUCCUAGAGGAAGGUCAUAUACCAGUUAAACUCCACUAUUUUGCUUCUUGGUGCCACGUUUGAGCCCACUCACCCAACCCCUGAAAUCUUAUCAGAAGCUGCUGAUCACCAGCGUCAGGUAUUUUCUAUCUCUUGGGAGACUAUCUUUCCCUGGCACUGGCUGCAACUAAUUAUUACGUUACAGAGAUAGUUUAAUAACCACCUGACCAUCGCUUAAUGGUCACCUGACAUUCCUGGGGGUUCCCUCUCCUGCCUUACUCAUGUCCGCCUAACCUACCUACUCUAACAGCUUCUAAGAACGAGGAAACACGAACUAAAAUAAUCUUGUCGUUUUUCUUUGAUUCAUAUUCUUUAUUAAGUAUCUAAAUAACAAUCUAUGUUUCCAAGGGAGUUAUACAAACCCUGAAUUCUACAACAGAAUAAAUAUUAUUUCUACAUGUUCCAAAGAUCUUAUUAAAGCACACACUCCAUGUCUGAACAACUCUCUUAAUAACUGAGUGUCUGUCUGAUCUUUCUAUUUACUGGUGAAUGCAGCUUGUCUGGUAUUAUCCUAGUAAUUCCUCUGUGUACUUUAUCAACCCUUUAUGGUGCAACAUGAGAAGGAAAGGGGAGAGUUACUAACAUUACAAAAAAAAAAAAAAAAGGCCGGGUGCGGCGGCUCAUGCCUGUAAUGCCAGCGCUUUGGGAGGCCUAGGUGGUUGGAUCGUCUGAGGUCAGGAAUUUGAGACCAGCAUGAUCAACAUGGAGAAAGCCCUUCUCUACUAAAAAUGCAAAAAUUAGCUGGGUGUGGUGGCAUGUUCCUGUAAUCCCAGCUACUUGGGAGGCUGAGGCAGGAGAAUCGCUUGAACCUGGGAGGCGGAGGUUGUGGUGAGCCGAGAUCGUGCCAUUGCAAUCCAGCCUGGGCAACAAGAGUGAAACUCUCUCUACAAAAAACAAAGAAAGAAACAAAACCCAGAAGCAACAAGUCUCAGAUUUCCCUUAUAGAAAUUAUC
rnacentral:lncRNA from 1 species